UUGGUCCUAGGUUAGAAGCAGCCGUCACACACAUUCACACAUUCUCGGCUAAACAAUUUUUUUUGGGUUAGCUGCUGGCCAUUAAAACUCUCGGUGCUGCAACGUUUUCUUUAAAAAGAAUGUUGAUGCUGUUUGAUUUUGGUUGAUGGAGAAUUGCAUGUCCAGCCGCCACACACAUGAAUAUUAUUUUUGGCUUGGAACAUUUGCAGAGGGAGCCGUCACUUAUUCAUUCCUGGAGGGAUUAGCUCGGAACAUUUUGGCUGGAAGCUCUUGAACGUUAUUUUGGUUUGAAAAAUAUUUUUCUUGUUCUUAUUCAGUAAAUGAAUUUAGCUUGGAGCGGGAUUCAACACUUUUGAAUUAAAUACUCUUUUAUUCCCUUGAUUCCAACGUUGAUAUGGAAGCAUUGUUUGGCAUUUGAAUGCAUUUUCUUUUUAUUCUCUGAGUGAAACUCACGACCAGCAUUUAUUACCAUUGAUUGGGCACGCUGCAACCAAUUUCAUUGUGAUUGAAUGUUUGAUUUUAUCUUUCUUCCAACGUGUUGUUGGUCUGGUGCUAAUGGGAUACGAAGCUACACUUAUUCAGAAAUUAUUUUUUUAUUUUACUAUGACUCUUGAAACGUUUCCGAGAAGGGAUGUUAUGGUUCAUGGUUUGAGGAAGAAUGAAAAAUAGACAGGUGAUGGUGCACACGGUGG
rnacentral:lncRNA from 1 species